UUACGCUGUUAUCCCUAAGGUAAUUUAUUUUAUUAUUCUAAAAUUUAGGAUUAAAAAUUCAUUAAUUAAUGUAAAAUUUAUUUAAAAGUUUAUUUAAUUAUAAAAUUACCCCAAUUAAAUAUUAAUUUUAAUUUAUAAUUUAAUUUAUAUAGUUUUAAUUUAAAUUAAUAUAAAAUUCUAUAGGGUCUUCUCGUCUUUUAAUAAUAUUUAAGAAUUUUAACUUAAAAUUUAAAUUUAAUUUAUUUUUUUUAUAAAGAUUAUAUCUCAUUAAAUCUUUCAUUCUAGUUUUUAAUUAAAAAACUAAUUAUUAUGCUACCUUUGUACAGUUAUUGAUACUGCAGCCAUUAAAAAUUUUUCAUUGGGCAGAUUUGACUUAAAAUUAUUUUCAAUAAGACAUGUUUUUGUUAAACAGGCG
rnacentral:rRNA from 1 species